rnacentral:snoRNA from 3 species
AGCUGUGAUGAGCAUCGCUUCCUUCUGACACCUCUUGUAUGAGAAGUGCGUCUCUCUCUCCAGAGAGGCGCCCUUCGUUGAGCAGAGUAUAGCAACUGUCUGAGCU